rnacentral:lncRNA from 1 species
CAAGCAUAUGAUGACUCAUAGUACAUAAAUCAAUAUCACAUUUCUAUUACUUUAAUACAAGUUAUGUAUAAAAUAGCUAAAUAAAUACGUCAUAUGACGACAGCGAUCUUCUGCAACCAUAGUUGACUAGGAGACGAUGGCCUAGCCUCUCCGAACUCAUCGCAACAUUCUUCAAGCUCCUCUGGCGGUACCUGUUCUUGACCUGGUGUGAUUAUAGCAAGGGUGAGCUCCCAUCGGUCAUCGCUCAGCAAGUGUCGGGAAUAGUGUGUAUGAGCUCACUUAUGGUUGGGGCUCAUGUGAAGUGUAAGUCUUACCAAGAAAAAUGGUUAAGACAGAGCAUUGCUUUUAAUUAAGUUGGUCAAAAUUUUAUUAGCAAUUAAUAAGUGUAAGUAAAUACCAACCCAAUUAAGUACUUGAUCAAUAUAAAAGUACCAUAUAGAAAUCCCACGAUGCAAUGCAUGACAUGUUAAAUUUUAAUUCCAUAAAUUACUCGUGUGAGAGACCUAAGUCACUCUUGACCGUAAGCACGACUGAUAUAAAGUUUUACACUCUGCAGAGGUUGCACAUCUUUACCCACAAAUCGUGAUAUCCAUCUACCACGAGGUCAUGAAUCACAUACACCUUUACCGAGGAGGCGAGGUAGUAGCACUAUGAGGCCUUUCUAAAGUUCCACUAGUUUGAGACAACCUGCUAUGGUUUUAGGCAAAAGGGAGUAUAGGAAUCCCUCGUCCGAAAAGCUAUCACAGAUAGUUCAACCCAAGAACCUUCAUAUACUCUGCAGUGAUUCACUCCUCGCUUGCCCCUUUCGGGUAAGGUAAUAUCUCCCUGGCUUUCCUAAUUAAUUGGCCAAGGGUGUCUCGUUCCAUUCUUGUGGUAGCACUGUUUUCUCAGGUUAAGCUCCAUAUUUCAAUUAACAAAAUGAUCUUAUCAUGAACAAUAAAAAAUCCAGUAACAAUAAUAAUAAAGCACUGUCAUAAUUCAAAUAUAGCAUUAAUACCUAAACCAGGUAGAGCAAUAGCAAUACUACCCAAUAGUUUAUUUGUAUGCAAGGUGUAGGGUAAACAAAACUAGCUAACCUAUUUGGUCCUGUUGGUACCCUAAAUCAGGGGUACCCUCUCCUACAGCGUGAAGGCAUCGCACCCAUGCGACGUCUCCUAGCCGCGCGGAGGACCGCGCCUGACCCCACCAGAUGGGCGGGCCAAAGGGCGCCACGUGGCAAGGAAAGGCACCACGCCCCAGUAAGGCCGGACCCCCACAGAGGGUCACCGGACCCCUAUAUACAUACAGGUCCGGAGCCCCCGGGUAGGUCCGAACCCCGGUAGGGUUCCGGAACGAGAAGGACCUUGGUACGUGCAGGGGUCCGGUGCUGACAUGUGUGCGGGCCUUGCUCUCCACUUUCCGCACAGGCGGAGACCUGCUGCUUGUGGCCCAUGACAUAAGCUGUCGGGCCAAACCUGACGAAAAGUCGUGCAGCCCCUGCAUUUAUUGAGGAAAAGACGCGCCGCCUGCCACUGCGCUGACGGGCGACGUGCCCCCUCAGCAUUUAAUGCGUCCCGUCCCAUCCGCUGGCAGGCGACGUCAAGGUCAUCCAGCAGACAGCGCGCCUGCUGGGUCUGCUGGUGAACAGUAUGCCUGUGCUGAGCGGCGUGCUAUACUCAUCUUCUCUUCCGCAAGAAGCCUCCUCGGUACGCCAGGGAUACGCAGAUCUCGGGCAGAGAAGAUUGUCUCGACAACAGAUAUUAGAGGAUCCAAGCACUAUAUUCUUUAUGUCCCUGGGCCCACAUGUCGGGGCCCAGUCCCUUUGUGCAUGCCCCCCUUCAGCUAUAAAAGGGGAGGCAUGCGAUGUUACACACACACACGCAAUCUCAGACUCGCUAGCUCAUACAAGCUCUCAAGCAAUACAUCUCACAGUGGAGUAGGGUAUUACGCUCCGGCGGCCCGAACCACUCUAAACCCUUGUGUGUCCUUGUGUAUUGCCCCUUCUCUCCAACAAUCAAGCGAAACGCCUAAGCCCCUCCUCAUCUCAGGACUUAGGGCGGGUGCACUCCGCCACCCGGCCGGAGAUCUACUCUCCGACAGGUCCCAUUAGCUUAACCUAACAGUGCCACUGUGAUUAAGAGAAUAAUGAACAUUAUUAGGUCAAAGAAUGUGAUCAAGUACACAACUUGCCUUUUACUUGCAAUAACCAGUUGUCCAGAUGCUUCCCCAAAAGUUGGGCUUAAGAUUCUUCGUGACCUCGCUUCUAUUCGUAGCAAUACAUGCAAAUAGGCAAAUAAUGGAUACAAUAACAUGACCCCAAAACAUGAAAACAAACUGCGCGAUAAUAUUCUAUGUGUCGUUAUGAAACCGUAGGUUCGAAAACUACUAAAAUCACAGUUAAAAUGAAUUAGUUAUGAAUUUUCUAAGUUCUUUAUACAUUUUAUAUUUAUUUUUAUACUAAAAAUGAUUAUCAUAGGUUUUCCCCAUAAACUCCUAAUCUAUUUAAUCAUUUUAAUAGGGGAAUGGACGACGGGUAUGAAAAUCAAGAAGUACAGGGUCUAACUCGAAAGAAACAUAACUCUUUUGUAACAUUUUUACUAUAUGGGUGUGUUGCUGGUUGUUUUCCUAGAAAUCCAAGGUCUCUUACGCAAAUCUUAUACGGCGAAGGUGUAUCUUCCCAUGUGGAAUGCUGGACCUUCAGUCUACGGAUUAGAUUAGAUUAUAAUCACAUUGAAUCGGUAUGCAAUCUUGAUCAUCGGACCUCCGAUCAACGACCGAGGACCCGCAUUAUCUCCACACCGUUUGAUCACAAAUCUUCGUUUCUUGAUUAACUCAUGAAGGGAUACACGUAGGUUUUAAUCACGACCGCAUAUCCACCGAUCAACGACCAACCUCCCUCCUCCUACGCCCCCAUUGCCUCAGAAAGUUGCACGUUCAUUACCACGACAGAGGGCUCGUUGGUGGCACACGAUCUCACGAUUACUUGAUCCGAAUCAAACACCAAUACGCUCUAAACUACAAGAAGUGCAAGGAGAAGUUAUAAGAGCAGACCUUUCUGGCGGGUGAUGUCGAGACCGAGCCGACCAUGAUGAUCUGUGGCUUGGUAGCGAGCUGAAGGGGCGGAUCUAGCCCAAAAUCCGAGUGGGGCCCAACUAUUGAGGGGGGCCUAAAUGGAAGCUUACUAGCAAAUAGUAUUUCAUAACUAUAAUAAUUAAGAUAGAAAGUUAACUGUAAUCAGAAAUUUGAGUGGGGGCCUGUGCCCCCACUCACCAUAACGUCGGUCCGCCACUGGCGAGCUCCUCGCUCCGACGAGCAAUUCACCGAGCUCCUGUGAUAUUUUCGCCCAUAAAGGCCACGGUCAUGUGAGGGGAUCUCUGGUGGAGCCCUAGGAUCACCAUCCGAGGUUGCGGCAUGGCCGAGGAUCACGGUUGAUGGCGGCGACUAUCUCUCCUCUCUCUCUCUUUGCCUCUUGCGGCGGCGACUCCCUAUAUUAUGCGUGGUGCUGGAGGUUCUCAAUUGCGUUUGAGGUACGGG